CAGCAAAUGCUUUUUCCAUCUCCGUAAGCCAAUUGUCUGCUUCCAAAGGUUCUGUAGUCCCCUGAAAAGCUGGAGGAGCCAGCCUCUUAAAUUCAGCUAUGCUGCUACGAUGUUCACACUGUUCCCCUCGUCCUUGUUGAGGCUGUGUCUGGAGCAACUGCUGUUGCACCUGCUGUUGCAUUUGCAUGAGGCCCACCAUGGUCUGCAUAACCUGGCUUAAGCCCGAUUCCUGUCCCGUUUGAGGGCUC
rnacentral:lncRNA from 1 species